AUGAGAAAGGGGAGGGAGUACAUGUAAAGUACAAGGGAUUGUAGGAAAUAAAAGGUCUCAUUGUCAGGUAGCCCAAGAGAAAGCCAUGUGUGUGCAAUUGUGUCAUAAACUAGAAAGCAUGCAAAACUAUCCUAUUUCUAACAUUAGGGGUACAAUCGUCAUUUCACAUUUGUGGAUUAAUAUUGAAUUAAAUUUCUAUUUACGAAAUUCUAAUUAAAGUCAUUUCUAAAAUCUAAGUAAUUCUAAUUAUUCUAAAUCCUAGAUUAAUCUAAAUUUAAUACUCCUAAUUAAACUCUAGAAUUCUAACAUUAUUUUUUAAUCCUAAUUCUAAAUUAAAAAAAUCUAAUAAUAUUUCUAAUAUCUUCUAAACUUAAUUCUAAAAUUCUAAAAUUAAUCCUAAAAUUAAUAUUUCUAAUUAUCUUCUAAACUUAAUUCUAAAAUUCUAAAAUUAAUCCUAAAAUUAAUAUUUCUAAUUAUCUAAUUACCUAAACUAAUCCUAACAUCAAUUAAUUCUAACAAUUUUUUUAUUAUCCAAUUAAAAUCUAAUUAUCCUAAGUUUAUGGAUCUAAUAACUCAUGAGCAAUUAUCUAAGCAAAGGAAUUUAGUGGGGGUGCAGGAUAAUGGAGUGAUUCGUUUGGGCCUUCCACACCGUCAAUGGUCCAGACUUCACAAACUCAAUUCAGCUCCACCAAAAACGAAUUCGCCCUAAUCAUUCAUGAAUCAGACCACUUCACCGCCGUCGUCCAAACAACACACGCCAUGGAAACAAAGGGAACGCACCUCCGCUACUAGCGCCGCUUCGACCUUUCACGAGGAAUCAGGGCAAAGAUUCGAGCGUGCAUCCACAGCCAAUGCCAAAAACUGAACGCUAAAUGGAAAAAUCGUGUAAAACAGAAGAGAUCGAAGAGCGGAAUCCUACCGAUCUCGCUCUGUGUGGAGACGAUGAUGGUGAAUUCUUGCCGUUGUUCGCCGAGUCGACUCGCCUUGUCGCGAAACGCAGAUGAAGGAUGAAAAGCUUGAAGAUCGACGGGAUUCACGGUUGAAACAGUGGAUUGAUUUCGGCCUCGAUCGUGCGUUGGCGGAUUCUAGCAGUUCUGAGAGUUGCGAUCUGUUUUUGAAAAGGAUUAGCGUUUGUUCUGUUGCAUCGUUACAGUUGUUGCCGGUGGAUCACGAUUUGCAGAACUCUUCACAAGUCCUUCAGAAUCGAUGCGUUGCCGAUGAAGGUUUCUGCUUCUACUUCAAAGAGUGAAGGAUGGUUGAAUCGUGGAUCGAGAUUCUCCGGUGGAUGAAGAGAGAACGAGCGUUGAUCUCCACUUUGCCGUGAGUUUGUCCUCUCCUCCGCUACCUUUUCGUUUUCCUUUCCUUCCAAUUUCUUCUGUUAUCGAGCUUUUUGGAAGAUCAUGGCAGCGGCUAUGGAGGAUUAAAGGUGAGGUUAAGUUCGAUCGGUGAAUAUUGGUGAGAGAAGAGGAGGAUUGGAAUUUAGUGAGGGUGAAGGUUGUGGUUGAAGGCGAGAUUACGGUUAUCGAGACUAGAGUUUGGUGAAGGUUUUGGUUGAAGGAUUGGAAGAGAGGAAGAAUCUGGAAGGGGUGAAGAUUGAUUUAUAGAGUGAUGGAGAGUUUGGUGUUGGCUCGGCUGGGUGUUUGGAAGCUUGCGCUUGCUCACUUGCCUUGCUGCGUUUCACUUGCCUCUCAGCUUUUGUGCGUGUUGCGCUUGUGGCUUGGAGCUUUGGAUGUAUUUCUCUUGCCCUGGCUUUCAAUUGUCGCCUAAACCGUAGCAGCUUCUGGAAGUGUGCUGGCUAGCUCGCAAGUUGCGUUACCACUUGAAGUAUUGGCUUGAAUUUUCCCAUCAUUGUAGCAUUGCAGUUUCUGUUUAGCAGUUUUUUCCACUUUUUGCCUUUUGCUGUAUUAGGUUAGUAUUAUUUAGGGACAAUGGAUUUUGUGGUAAUGAAUUUUGGUUAAAUGCAAAAUGGUUUGGAUAA